UACGAAGGGGGCUAGCGUUGUUCGGAAUCACUGGGCGUAAAGGGUGCGUAGGCUGGUUCUUAAGUCAGGGGUGAAAUCCCGAGGCUCAACCUCGGAACUGCCUUUGAUACUGGGGACCUUGAGUCCGGAAGAGGUGAGUGGAACUGCGAGUGUAGAGGUGAAAUUCGUAGAUAUUCGCAAGAACACCGGUGGCGAAGGCGGCUCACUGGUCCGGAACUGACGCUCAUGCACGAAAGCGUGGGGAGCAAACAGG
rnacentral:rRNA from 1 species